GUACUAUCUAAUAUUUAUUAUGACACUGAGAAAAUGCUGUGUAUAUAUAUUGCAAGAUAUAUACAUUAACAUAUAUUGAAUCUAUUUUGCAAUGAAUCAAAUAUAAUUGCACAAAAUAUAAUUAGCUUUAAUUUAUGAAAGACAAUGAAUCAUAAAAUAUCAUAUUACAUAAAGUUAACUUAACAGAGUCAAGAUAUUACAUGAACUAAAGACACAUUAACCAUUAAAACAUGAACUCAUAGAUUCCUGCGGCUUGACUCUCCUCUUUCCUCUCUUGGGCGUUUCUUAGCAGUGUUGUUGUGUGCAUCCUUUUUCAUGUUUCUGAACCAUUGCUUGUAGAGUGGAUCAAUGUCUUCUUCCUCUAGUUCGAUUCGUAUUAAGUAGCCAAGGCAAUGAGAAAGACAACACCACAAAUUUCAAACUUCACCGAAUUAGAAUAGAAUUAACCUAAGAAAAGCUUGAAUCUUAAGUAUUGCAAAUACAAACUGAAACUAGCAACAUACAAGUUCAAGGAGACAGUUCCAAUUUUGAAGCCAAUGAGAUCAUACAUCUCAAGUUCUCUAAAUUAUCAUCUACUCAUUACUCAACCUACGAACAGCUUCAAUAC